rnacentral:lncRNA from 1 species
CGCGGACCCGACGCCCCUCGCCGUCCGGAGCCAGAGCCGGAGCCUGCGCCGGGGCCGCCCUCGAGGCUGCCCUGCAGGCCCUGCCUCUACUGGGACCUUUCCCAGCCCUCUGACCUGACCUGAAAGCACACCGGGAACGCCAUGCAGGGGGUUCUGAUGCCUCUGCCUUUGCUGCUGCUGCUGCUGCUGCUGGGGUGUGGGCCACGGGUGUCCUCUGGUGGCGGGGUUGGGGGCAGCAGGCUACGCCCCAGUGAAGUACGUGCAGCCUAUGCAGAAAGGACCUGUGGGACCACCCUUCCGAGAGGGCAAGGGCCAGUACCUGGGUGAGACCUCCCUGCCCCACCUCGUACCAAACAGCUCUGACUCCACCAGACCCUCGCAGGCCCUCACUGCAGCCCCC